GAUGAAGAACGUAGCGAAAUGCGAUAAGUAGUGUGAAUUGCAGAAUUCAGUGAAUCAUCGAAUCUUUGAACGCACCUUGCGCCCGCCAGUAUUCUGGCGGGCAUGCCUGUUCGAGCGUCAUUUCAACCAUCAAGCCCCGGGCUUGUGUUGGGGAUCUGCGGCUGCCCGCAGGCCCUGAAAACCAGUGGCGGGCUCGCUGUCACUCCGAGCGUAGUAGCACUCGUAUCUCGCUCAGGGCGUGCCGCGGGCUCCGGCCGUUAAACCGCCUCUUUAGCACCCAAAGGUUGACCUCGGAUCAGGUAGGAGGACCCGCUGAACUUAAGCAUAUCAAUAAGCGGAGA
rnacentral:misc_RNA from 1 species